rnacentral:lncRNA from 1 species
CCUGGUAUGGGAAACAUGUUGUUCUGUUUAGUGAAAGGUAUGCAAUGUGCAGUCCCUGAUAAGGAGGAAGUGUUUAACAUACUGUUCUUGUGUAAUGAAAAUACUACUGAAAUUCUAAAGAAUAAACCACAAAACUUCUGUCAUUAUCAGAGGAAUUGAUGCCUCCUGCUGGUUAUUCUUAGAUCUGCAUCAGAACAUGAGAAAUCAAAUCAAAUCAGAGUUUAUUGGUUGCGUACGUAGAUUUGCAAGUGUUAUAGUAGGUGCAGUGAAAUGCUUAUGUCACUGGCUCCAACAGGGCAGUAGAAUGUCUCUCAAACACAAUACAAAUACACAAAUAAUCAAUAAAUCAAAACAAUAAAUCAACAACUGUCAGAGCUAGUCCAAUUUAUGAUCCAAAGAUACUGUAUAUUAGCGUGAGCAGUUACAGAAUAUAAAUACGUGGUGUUUGUAUAGACAGUAUAUCAUUUAGAAAAGAAAAUGGUAUGUACAAUAGUAGGUAUAUUAGGAUGGGCUAUGUGGAGAAUACAGUAUAUACAUACACAGUGAGUAAGCAACAGUAUAUAAACAGUAUAUGAAGUUACCAGUGUUCAAUGUCUCACAUGGGGCAUUAGUCUCAAGGUGCAGAGCUGAGUAUCGGGCAGGUAGCCGACUAGUGAUGGCUGUUCAACAGUGUGAUGGUCUGGUGAUAGCUGUCUCUCAGUCCCGGCUGUGAUGUACCUACAUGUACCUUCUCCGUUCGACAGUAUCAGAGUGAACAGACCGUGGCUCGGGUGACAUGACAAAUUUCUUCAGCCACUUGAAGUUGAAGAGGCGCUGUUGCGCCUUCUUCACCACAGUGUCGGUGUGGUGGCACCAUUCAGGUCCUCAAUGAUGUGCAAGCCAAGGAACUUGAAGCUUUUUAACCUCUAGACUAUGGCCCCUCGAUGUGGAUGGGGACGUGCUACCUCUUCUGUCUCAUGUAGUCCACGAUCAGCUCCUUUUGCUUUGUUGACGUUGAUGGAGGGGUUAUUUUCCUGGCAACACUUCGCCAGGGCUCUAACCUCCUCCUUGUUGUUCUGGUCAUCAGGCCUACCACUGUCGUGUCGUCAGCAAACUUGAUGAUUUAGUUAGAGUCUUGAUCGGCCAGACAGUCAUGGGUGUACAGGGAGUACAUGAGGGGGAUGAGCAAGCACUGUGUUGAGGCUCAGUAUGGCAGAAGUGUUGUUGCCUGUCCUCACCACCUGAUGUUGGCCUGUCAAGAAGUCUAGGACCCAGUUGCACAGGGAUGAGUUCAGACCCAGGGCCCUGAGCUUAGUGACGAGCUUGGAGGGCACUAUGGUGUUGAAAACUGAGCUGUAGUCGAUGAGCAGCGUUCUCACACAGGUAUUCCUCUUGUCCAGGUGGGAUAGGGCGGUGUGCAGUGCUUAAGCGAUUUAAUCGUACAUGGAUCUGUUGGGGUGGUAUGCAAAUUGUAGGGGGUCUAGGGUGUCGUUUAAGGUGAAGGUUGUAUGGUCCUUGACUCUCAAAGCACUUCAUGAUGACAAAGGUGAGUUCUACAGGGUGAUAGUCAUUUAGUUCAGUUACCUUAGCUUGCAUGGGUAAUGUGAGGUUUUUUGUAUGAGUAGGCCCAGUGACCUAGUAUGAGUGCCAGUCGGUUUGUGCCAUCAUGUCAACUGCCCGUCACUCAUUGUUUGGCUUGACAAUGAGCAAUGGAGAUGGAUAAGCACAAACAGAUCUGGGAACAGGCUACUAGUUCACCUUUAGUAUCAAAACUCUUCAGCAUAAUACUAUUACGUCUUAGACAUCAGAAUGACCAAAGAAGAAAACACAAAACUUUAAGGAGAAAUACAUUUCUUUUUUACAAUAAAAAAAACUAAAUGUUUACAAAUAUUAUAGCACCUUUCAUGUUGACAUAGGCUACAGUAUUUUUAAAGGAAGAGUCCACACAGAGAGUGGAGCGUGUUUGCCAGUAGAAGCCCAUAGCUGCUCAUUAGUCUUACAUCAUUCACUUUGUUUUUGUUAUUGGUUUUACACAAAUAUUUCUAAUAUGUAAAGUAUAACAAUGCAACCAUCUUUUCUUCAUAUAAGUUAAAAAGUCAGUUAAAAAUCAAAAUAAAAUGUAAAAACAACAAAAAUAUCAGAAAAACAACAAAAAUGUCCCUUUAGGGAAAAUAUUGCCCAACUAUACAACCAAGUGUGCAUGUCAAUAGUUUCAAUUCGUCUCUUCUCCUCAUCUCAUCUCCUUCCCUGAUCUGAACAGUUAGGGUAGGUCAAAGCAAUAUGAUGGAAUCCUGCUCGGAAUUUCUUCUCACCUUUCCCAUCAGAGGAGAUGAAGGAAAGCAGACGAAAAUGUGAAUCCUCUUCACACUACUGACACACACAAGUCUCUCUCUGUAGCUCGGCUGCUACUGGUCUCCCCUAUGAUUGGCUGAGCCCUUCCCGACACAGUCUUUGAUCUCUCCCUUCAGCUCGGCUAGCUGUGUAGAGUGACUGGCCAGCGUUCCAUUCACCUGUGACAGGUACGAGUCAGAGUGUCUCUCCAGCUCUGCCCUGAUCCUCUCCAGGUGGUCCGCCAGCUCCCCCAGGCUGCCACACUGUCCCUCCACCUGGGACACGCGACUAUCCACCUCCUUCACCUCCCUCUGAACCCCAAGGGCCGUGCUCCAGCAGCCCUGCAGCUCUCCGGCCAGCCUCCUCCUCAGGCCCACCAGUUCCCCCUUCAGCUGGGCUAGUCGGCGCUCCCCGGCCCCUAGGAGGGAGGCCUGGCGCCCCACCAGCUGGGUGAUGCCCUGGACCUCGGUGGCUAGCUGGUUCUCCCUGUGUGUCCACGUGGCAUUAGCAUGGCCCACUCCCUUAGUGAACAAGCUAACAGAGUCCCUCAGACCCUUCAGGGUGCGGUUGACAGAGUUGACAUUGAUCUUGAGGAGGGUGAUUUCUCCCUGGACAGAGCCUUCCUCGUCCUCCUGGGCGAUACGGUUCAGAAGGGUCUGCAGCGUGGUGUUGAGAUGGUCUAGCUGGUCGGCGUGGGAGUCCAGACGACCUGACACCUUCUUCUCCACCUCCUCACACUCCUCCUCCGCUAGGCCUGUCCCUGCGCCUCCUUCAGGGGGAGUUGCGGGGGAGCAGGAGGAGGUGCAGAGGAGCUCCAGGUCUGUGAGCUGUUUCUGGAUGCCGUCCAGGUCUCCCUCCACUCUCCUCCUGACUGACUCAAUCUCUGUCUCCAGGGCGGGCACCACCUGACCCUCCAGCAGAGCUGGGGCAGUGGCGUUUCUCAGCUCUUCCACGGCCACAAACACCCUGUUCUCCAGGAUCUUCAGCUUGUCCUCCAGCAGGGUCUUGAAGCUGUCCAGUGACUGCUGAAUCUGCUCCUGUCCGUUCAUGUGUUCAUUAUGACACUGUCUCUGGACCUCUCCUAUCCUCUCCUCACAGUGGUUCUCCAGGCCAGACAGACGCCUCUCGAAGCCGUCCAGGAUCUCAGCGCGGACACCGGCAAGCUUAGCAUCCAGCAGCUCCAUGAUGGAGGGAGAGCCCGAUCCAGGGAUGGGCCUGCCGGUCGCAGCCUCCAACAUCCUCUUCAGCUGCCAGUCAUGGCCCAGAACCAUGCCCUAAUGAAUGAGAAUGACAAUGGUUUGGUUUUAGGUAGCACU